AUGGGGUUGAAGCUCAGUGGUAGAGUGCUUGCCUAUCAUGUGUGAGGCACUGGGUUCAGUCCUCAGCACCACAUA
rnacentral:tRNA from 1 species